rnacentral:rRNA from 1 species
UACGGAGGGGGCUAGCGUUGUUCGGAAUUACUGGGCGUAAAGCGCACGUAGGCGGACGCUUAAGUCAGGGGUGAAAUCCCGGGGCUCAACCCCGGAACUGCCUUUGAUACUGGGUGUCUGGAGGUCGAGAGAGGUGAGUCGAAUUCCGAGUGUAGAGGUGAAAUUCGUAGAUAUUCGGAGGAACACCAGUGGCGAAGGCGGCUCACUGGCUCGAUACUGACGCUGAGGUGCGAAAGCGUGGGGAGCAAACAGG